GAGAUGAACAUCAGACAUCUGGAAAGAAAAGCUGAGAAUUCUAAACAGUAAAGAGGCUGUCCUCACUCUCAACAUCCCCUCCAGCCAACUGCUGUUCUGAUUUUCCCUCCAGAAACUGACUUCACCAAUUCUAGAACUUCAUACAAAUGGAUCACACGGAUUUUCAUGGUUUCAGGCCUUGUGUUUAAUUCUGUAAUCCAUCUUGUGGUAAGCCCAGCCGAAUUCUACCAGAGGUACAAAGAGGAGCUGGUACCAUUUCUUCAGAAACUAUUCCAAAUAAUAGAAAUAGAGGGAUUCCUCUCUACUCACUUUUAUGAAGCCAGCAUCAUCCUGAUACCAAAACCUGCCAGAGAUACUACAAAAAAAAUAAAUAAAAUUUCAGGCCAAUAUCCCUGAUGAACAUUGAUGUGAAAAUCCUCAAUAAAAUACUGGCAAACAGAAUCCAGCAGCAUAUCAAAAAGCUCAUCCACCACAAUCAAGUUGGCUUCAUCCCUGGGAUGCAAGGCUGGUUCAACAUAUGCAAAUCAAUAAACGGAAUCCAUCACAUAAACAGAACCAAUGACCAAAACCACGAUUAUCUCAAUAGAUCCAGAAAAGGCCUUCAAUGAAAUUCAACACCACUUUAUGCUAAAAACUCUCAAUGAACUAGGUAUUGAUGGAAUGCAUCUGAAAAUAAUAAGAGCUGUUUAUGACAAACCCACAGACAAUAUCAUAAUGAAUGGGUAAAAUCUGGACACAUUCCCUUUGAAAACUGGCACAAGGCAAGGAUGCCCUCUCUCACCACUCCUAUUCAACAUAAUAUUGGACGUUCUGGACAGGGCAAUUAGGCAAGAGAAAGAAAUAAAGCGUAUUCAAAUAGGAAGAGAGGAAGUCAAAUUGUCUCUGUUUGCAGAUGACAUGAUUAUAUAUUUAGAAAACCCCAUUGUCUCAGCCCAAAAUCUCCUUAAGCUGAUAAUCAACUACAGGAAAGUCUCAGGAUACAAAAUCAAUGUGUGAAAAUCACAAGCAUUCCUAUACACCAAUAAUAGACAAAAAGAGAGCCAAAUCAUUAGUGAACCCCCUUUCACAAUUGCUACAAAGAGAAUAAAAUACUUAGGAAUACCACUUACAAGGGAUAUGAAGGACCUCUUCAAGGAGAAUGACUAACCACUGCUUAAGGAAAUAAGAGGGGACACAAACAAAUGGAAAAACAUUCCAUGCUCAUGGAUAGGAAGAAUCAAUAUUGUGAAAAUGGUUACAGAUUCAAUGCUAUCUCCAUCAAGCUACCACUGACUUUCUUCACAGAAUUAGAAAAAACUAUUUUAAAUUUCAUAUGGAACCAAAAAAGAGCCCGUAUAGCCAAGAUAAGCCUAAGCAAAAAGAAUAAAGCUGGAGGCAUCAUGCUACCUGACUUGAAACUAUACUACAAGACUACAGUAACCAAAAUAGCAUAGUACCAAAACAGAUAUAUAGAUCAAUGGAACAAACAGAGGCCUCAGAAAUAAUGCCACACAUCUACAACCAUCUGAUCUUUGACAAACCUGACAAAAACAAGAAAUGGGUAAGGAUUCCCUAUUUAAUAAAUGGCAUUGGGAUAACUAGCUAGCCAAUGUGUAUUGCAUUUUUAAGCUCCAGAAUUUCUGCUUUUUAAUUAUUUCAAUAUCUUUGUUAAAUUUAGCUGAUAGAAUUCUGAAUUUUUUCUCUGUAUUACCUUGAAUUUCUUUGAGUUUCCUCAACACAGCUAUUUUGAAUUAUCUGACAGGUCACAUAUCUCUUUUUCUCCAGAUUUUGUCCCUUGUGCCUAUUUAGUUCAUUUCUUUAGAUCAUGUUUUCCUGGAUGGUGUUGAUGCUAUAGAUGUUCUUUAAUGUCUGGACAUUGAAGAGCUAGGUAUUAAUUGUAGUCUUCACUGUCUGGGCUUAUUUGUAGCCAUUCUUCUUGGAAAGGCUUUCCAGAAAUUUGAAAAAACUUGGGUGUUGUGAUCUAAGCUGUAUCUGCUUUAGUGUGCACUCCAAGCCCAGUAAAACUGGGGUUCUUAAAAAUUUAUAGAGGUACCACCUUGAUGGUUUUGGACAAGAUCUCGGAGAAUUCUCUGGGUUGCUAGGCAGAGACACUUGUUCUCUCCCUUACUUUCUGCCAAACAUACAGAAUCUCUCUAUCUCUGUUCUGAGCCACCUAAGCCUGGGGGUGAAGUGACAUGAAUUAAACCUGUGGUCACCAUGACUAUGCCUGUGCUCGGUCAGGCCUGAAACCAGCACAGCACUGGGUCUUGCCCAAGGUCUGCUGUAGCCACUCCAUGGCUACUGUCUAUGUUCACUCAACGCCCUGGGACUGUACAAUCAGCAGGUGGCAAAGCCAGCCAGGCCAUCCUUCUCUUCAUGAUGACAAGUACCCCCAGGCCCUGGUGGGUCCAGAAGUGCCAUCCAGGAAUCAGGGACUAGAGUCAAAAAUCUUUGACAUCUACCUGGUGUUCUAAAACCACAAGUUGCAGUUCUUUGCACUCUUCCCUCCUCUUUCCAAAGGCAGAGAAGCCUCGCAGUGUAGCUGCCACCACCCUAGCCAACAAUGAUACUGCCGGACUACCACUGAUGUUCCCUUAAGUCUCAAGGCCUCUUAAGUCAGCUUGCCAUGAAUGCUACCUAGCCUGGGACUCAAUUUUUGGGGCAAUGGGCUCCUCACUGGCCCACAGUAGGUCCAGAAAUACCAUCUAGGAGUCAUGUCUUAGAACUCGGGACCCCAAGAGUCCACUUGGUACUCUACCCACCAUGGCCAUGCUGGUACCUAAGGUGCAAGCCAAAGUCUCCUUUACUUUUCUUUCUGCUUUUCUCAGGCAGAGGAAGUUUUGCCCUGUAGCUACCAUAGCUGGUAAUGUGCUGAGUCUCAACCUGAAACCAGCAAGCCUCAGAGGCUUGCCCAAGUCCCUCGAUGCAGUACCUGGGUAUUGCUGCUUGUUAUUCAGGGCCCAAGGGCUGUUAAGUUCACAAGUGAUGAAUGCUGCCAGUACUGAGUUCUUUCUUUCAAGACAGCAGGUUCUUUUCUGACCCAAGGUGUGUCUAGAAAUGUCGUCUGGAGACUGGGAGCAGUGGCUCAUGCCUGUAAUCCCAGCACUUUGGGAGGCUAAGGUGGGUGGAUCAUGAGGUCAAGAGAUUGAGAACAUCCUGGCCAACAUGGUGAAACCCCAUCUCUACUAAAAAUACAAAAAUUAGGUGGGCGUGGUGGCUUGCGCCUAUAGUCCCAGAUACUCAGGAGGCUGAGGCAGGAGAAUCGCUUGAACCCAGGAGGUGGAGGUUGAAGUGAGCCGAAGUCAUGCCACUGCUCUCCAGCCUGGCGACAGAGUAAGACUCCGUCUCAAAAAAAAAAAAAAAAAAAAAUGUCUUCUGGAAGCUAGGGCCAGAAAAAGGGGCCUCAUGACGGUGAUUGGUGCUCUAUUGUGCUGUGGCUGAACUGGUAUUCUAGAUCCAAGAUGAAGUCCUCCCCACUCUUCCCUCUUCUUUCCUCCAGCAAAUGGAAGGAGUCUCUUUUGGAGCUGUGAGCUGUGCAGCCUGGGGUUAGGGGAGGAGUGAUGCCAGCACUCUUUUGGCUGCCCCAGUUAGUAUCGCAAUAUGUCACAUGCCCUCCAGCCCACUGUCUCUGGACCUAGUUUAGCAUGAGGGCUCACAUAAGAGUUGCAGUAUUUAUGGCCUAGACUGCCUUUCAAGUUUAUUUGGAGACAUAGAGGGCUGUAGCCCUUGGUGGAGAGGUUUUCAGGCACUCAAGUUUGGACCUCUGGGAUCAGCACUUCCCCUCUGGCUAGGGCUGGUUUCCAAGCUCUCUCUUUGGGUGGGUGUCAGCUGAGUUUGGUCCAGUUUUCCUUUCUGCUCUAAAAGGACAGCACUGAGUUCGGUGUCUCACAAUUGCUGUGAUCUCCCUUCCUCUGUGCCCAGAGAUGCUCUCUGCACCAGAUUGCUACUGCCGUGGGUCAGGGAGAGUGGCACUGGCGAUUUAAGGCAGCUGUUUUUUUCUGUUUCUUCAGUACUUCCUUCAGGGAUAAGAAGUUAAAACCAGGAACUCACCUGAUUUUUGGUUCUUAUGAAGGUGGGUUUUUUUUUUUUUCGGUGUAGAUACUUAUUAACUUGGUGUCCUUGCAGAGUAUGGGACAAUCAGUGGAGUUUUUAUUUCAUAUAGUUCAACCUAAGAGCAUAGCUAUCUGAAAUAUUUCUUCCCUGCUACUACUCUUGGAACACAUUUCUCCUUGUACCCAAUCUUUUGGCUAGUGUGGUCCAAAAAAAGGAAAUACAUUUACAUGGUUAUAUGUUAUAUUACUAUUCCAGAAACACAGUUUCUUUAGUGUCAUGUUUAUUUUUGUAACCAGUAAGGAACAGCGCAUCUUUCAUUACUAUAAAUAGAAAAUCUUAUCUGUGUUACUCUGUUCCUUAAUAUCAAUGUGAAAUACUAAGGGUAGUUCUAAUGUAUUUUCUAGGGGAAACUUCAGCAUUUUUAGGCUAGGCUAUUCUAAAAAAAAAAAAAAUCAGAUGCAAAGAAAAGCACUCGAAGUAUCUUGAGAGGCUGAAUAAUAACCCUCUAAAAAGGUCCAGGUUCUAAUCUUCAGAACCUGUGAACAUGGCACUUUACAUGGCAAUGAGGACUUUGCAGAUGUGAUUAAGGACCUUAUUGGGGUUUUAAUUUGCAUUUCUCAAGUUUUCUUUGGGUAUAUACCCAGUAAUAGAAUUGCUGGGUUGAUAGUUCUUAUUUAAAUUCUUUGAGAAAUCUCCAGACUGCUUUCCACAAUGGCUGAACUAAUUUGCAUUCCCACCAGCAGUGUGUAAGUGUUCCCUUUUCUCCACAACCUUGUCAGCAUCUGUUAUUUUUUGACUUUUUAAUAAAUAACAAUCUAUGUGCACACACACAUGUAUAUGCUAUUCUUGAUUGUACAUUUGUCUGUUAUAUACAUUGUAAAU
ensembl:lncRNA novel transcript